rnacentral:misc_RNA from 1 species
CAUUUGUCAUCGAGUUGACGCAGGCCAUUCUCCUUUGCUUAACAGCAGGCGCUUUAAAAAGCUGUGUGAUGGGGACACUCAAUGCAUAGUGAGAUCUUGAUGUCAAUGCUCUUCCAGCUAAACUCAAAGUUGCUUUAGAUAUCACAAAUGGCCCACUCAGAUUUGUAACAUCUAGACCAAGAUUACCCUGCCAGGGACAAAAUGAACUCAAAUAAAAUAAAAAUGAAGAUCUAAUAUAUUAUGAAACUGUGCAAAAACCUACCUUUUCACGUGAGCUACUUGAUCAUUCUUUAUCCAACUUGUACUUUUCAGCAGUAAUUGUCAGUAACAUAUAAACCUUUUAUCACAGAAUGAUACCUAGCUAAUUUCAUCAUUUCCUUCCCUUUUAAUGAAUUGGUAUUGGUUAGAAAGAAGUUACCAAUAACCUUUUGUCUUCAAUUCUUUGAGAGUUAUGAACCUUAAGAAUAGAGAAAUAGCAGAAAGGUCGGUAUUAUUUGAACAAUAUGAGAUUACAAUGUUGCACAUUUUGUGUCCAAAACACAUGAAAAGAGUGUCUAUUUUAUUCUGUCAUUCGCUGCAGAUAAUCCUACAGACAAAGCAAAAAAUUCGAUAAUAAACUCAAGUACACACUCUGUGUAGUACACAGCAUGCCAAGCAAGCAGCCUAAAUAUGGAACCCAUGAACUUAUAAUUACAAGACAAUGUUCCCAGCAACAAGCCUAAAUGGCAAAUAACUAUCCUAAAAUUUACCACUGGGAGAAAAUUACAUAUCAGCACCUGUCAUAAAUUUUCUCCUUUGAAUAACUGUUAUGAAUUUUGCGUCUCCCUACCGAGGUUAGGAAGUGGUUUUAGCUUAGGCCACGCGUCAGAAACAAAUCGUUACAUAGCCAAACGUCAGUAGCAAGGAAGAGCAGACAGAGGCCUUUUCUCCAUAAAUUAGGAAUUUUUUUUUAUAGAUAUAUCAAAAUUACAAAAACAAAAAGAAAGAUAGAGUAUGGGUAGAACCAAAAUCACUAAAAAUGGGUUCUUGAAGGUUUCAGUUAGCUAUCAACACCAUGGCCCAUGGUAGAAACUUGCUUCACGGUUAUGAUUACAUUGAGCUAUAGCAGUGAACAGAUAUAUGGGAAUUACUGAGUAAAAGACUGACCUUAACCACAAGGCGAGGGUUAUGCACCAGUUGCACUGAGAAUGUAGAGGCCAUUUGGCUCCUUGAAUGGAAUGGUAUUCUGGGUUUGGCUUGGCAGGUUAAAGAUAAGACUCUGCUAGCAGAAGACGAGAUAGAUGUUGGAGAAGAAACGAGAUGAAAGAAAAAGGCUUGGACACCUUGGGAGAGGGGUUUUUAGUUUUAUUG